rnacentral:lncRNA from 1 species
CUAAGGGACGACAUCAAAAGUUCAAUGAAGGAUAAAAAAACUUUAUUCAUAUAGUUUUUUCACUGACCCCCUAUCCCCCUAUUAACUUAAUUUGAGAAAAAUUGAUUGACCAAUAAGGAUAUAUGUAAAAUUGAUAUCAAUUUAUACAAAACUUGCAGCAAUUUGACCCCCUUACCCCCAAACUAUUUGAAUUCAGUUUUUCAUCCUUCAUUGAUUUUUUUAUGUCAUCC